rnacentral:lncRNA from 1 species
UUUAACAACAUAAUAAAAUUACUAACUAUCUAAUUUAAAUUAGUUGGACGUUGACUGACGGAAUUAAAUUUGCAUUCAACUAACCCAUCUGCCACCGGUUUCCAGUCGUACUAAUUUAGUAAAUUGACCAGCUGGCUAAGACACGUGGCACUCUGGACGACGAGAAAACGGAUAAAACCGGUAACGUCUUUGUUUUCGUUGACACGUGUCAUGCUUCGGUGGGCAAGCAAUUUCGUAUUUAUGCUCGUCCAUGGCGGGGAAAUGAAUGAUGCGCCAACCUGUUACUGAAGCUGCUAAUCUCUGCACUUUCCCCUCCGAGCCACGAACCAUCUCUCCCGCCGGCCACCUCUCCGUUUCCCGCUUUGACUUUUGCCGAAUGCAAGCGUCUGGAACGCCAUCGUCGGCAGCCUUUUUCUCAGCCCUCGGCCACGUUUUCCUGGUAAAUGGUACUCGAAGCUGCGUAGUUUCCGGCCCGACAGAGUCGAUUGGGUAAGGAGCUCAGCUUAGUCAUGCUUAAGGGUUGCGUGCAUUCCUGGAUUACACUUCAGGGUUCCGCGGGUGACGCUUUGUUUGCACCUUGAGAGUGCAUGGAAAGGUGUUCGACGAAAUGCUCGCCGGUGAGAUCAGCUUCGAGGAACGAGUGGAUUGCUUAGUUGUUUCAAUUGAUCCAGGUAAAAACAUUGAUAAUUCCAUUUCGGGUCGGGGUUUAGCUUAUUUCAGUACUAUGGACAUUCAAAAUUUUAUUUGGGAUGAAACCUUUAUAGUUAGGGAUAACAAUAGAGAUAUUUAUUUUAUAUAUUUUGGUAUUGAAAAUAAUAAUUUUGAUAUUGGCAAUGAUCAUUCUUUUUUGAGUGAAUUAGAAAAUUAUAGGUAUGGUAAUUCUAAUUAUAUGAAUAAUAAAUAUAAAAUUGAUAAUCUCCACUUUAAUAUUUAAAUGUAUAGUUAUAUUUUAAAUAGUAGUAACGACAAUAAUGACAAUUAUAUUUAUGGUAAAAGUAGAAAGAGUAGUGAAAGCGAGACCAAUUAUAUAAGUGGACCUAUAUAGAUGCUAAAAGAAUAGAAAAACAGUUUGCUAUGCAUGGAGAUACCCGUAAAGCACUCCAUUAUAUUAAGCUAAUUAGUUCGACGACUAUAAAUAGCAUGCACCCUAAUGCUGUAUAAUACAUGUUUGGUAUGUGCAACACGCAGGUUUGGUGGACAUGCAAUUAGAAUGUUAGGUUCUAUAUCGAGUAUUUGAGAAAGGCGCCUUGGAAGUAGAGUUAAUUUGCUAGGCUGAGCUAGGGUUGGGAGUGUAUAUUAUGUGGAGAUGAUCGAUAAAUUUUUUUGAUUAUCACGGGUGAUCAAGUUGGUUUUAUAAAUGUUAUUAUUUGAUGUUUAUUAAGUACCAAAAUUUAUAUAUUUUAUAUAUUAUAUAUAAAGAUACUAUAAUCUGUAAUAGAUUAUGAAUCUAUAGAGUUACAAGAAUAUCAUAUAGUUUUUAGGGUAUAUUUUUUAAAAAUUUAUACAUUUUUUUAUUUAAAGAAAAUUAUAAAUUGAUAAAGAAGUGUAUGAUAAUAAAAAAUAAAAAUAAUAAUAAAAAUUUUUAAAAAUUUAAUUUUAUUACAUUUUUACUUAUUCUUUAUUAAUUCACAAACACACUCUUUUCAAAUCUCUUCAUAAACAUAUGAAUUUAAAAAAUUAAAAAUUAUUUAAUUUUUAUAUAUGAAAUAAAAAUAUAAUAUAAAAAUAAAUUUCUGAAUAAAAAAUUUUGAAUUUCAAGUUCAUCCCAUAUAAAUUAUAUACUUUCAAUAUUUUCCUAAUGAUAUAUAAAAACAUAAAUAGAUAAUUCUGGAAUUGAAGAUAAGACUAGAGUUAUUAAUUAAAUCUUAAGAAUAUAAAUUAUGAUGAAAUUAUACAUAUUAAUAAUUAAAAUAUGAGAAUUAAAAAGUUUAAAUAUUCUUGUAACCAAACAAACAAACGUUAACGUAAUAACUUUAUAGACUUCUACUAACCCCAAUUCAGCAAAUGUACAUACAAGUCAGAAGCGGUUCAGUGUAAAGAACACGACAUGCCUGGCAAAUUAAUAGUUUACCAUGAGAUUCGACAAAUAUGCUACAGA